AGUAACCUGCCCCAGACUCCGGGAUAAGCCUUGGAAACGAGGUCUAAUACUGGAUAUGAGAUGCCCCUGCAUGGGGAGUGUCUGGAAAGAUUUAUCGGUCUGGGAUGGACUCGCGGCCUAUCAGCUUGUUGGUGGGGUAAUGGCCUACCAAGGCGACGACGGGUAGCCGGCCUGAGAGGGCGACCGGCCACACUGGGACUGAGACACGGCCCAGACUCCUACGGGAGGCAGCAGUGGGGAAUAUUGCACAAUGGGCGAAAGCCUGAUGCAGCGACGCCGCGUGAGGGAUGAAGGCCUUCGGGUUGUAAACCUCUUUCAGCAGGGAAGAAGCGCAAGUGACGGUACCUGCAGAAGAAGCGCCGGCUAACUACGUGCCAGCAGCCGCGGUAAUACGUAGGGCGCAAGCGUUGUCCGGAAUUAUUGGGCGUAAAGAGCUCGUAGGCGGUUUGUCGCGUCUGGUGUGAAAACUCAAGGCUCAACCUUGAGCUUGCAUCGGGUACGGGCAGACUAGAGUGCGGUAGGGGUGACUGGAAUUC
rnacentral:rRNA from 1 species